CUCAGGGAUCAGCAAUGGACAGCUAUUCAUACAGAUCCUGCCUGCAGGGAUCUGGCUGCACCCAGAUGGGAAGAGACCUUCAUUGGAGAAGAAGAUGAAGCAUAUUGAGGGAAUACAGCGAGGCACCUUGGGCUUAGCUGAAGAAUUUGGUGAAAAGUCAAGAUGUUUCUCUUUAGAGCUUUGCUUCUCUGUGGGCGAUUUUCCAAGGUGGGUACUUCAUUAGUCAACACGAGUGUGGCCGUGACAUUCAGGGAUGAAUGGCACUAGCCACUACCUACAGACAAACGCCACCAGCACGCCUUACAGAAUGUGUUGGCUUCACUAUGCUCUCACUUGAAACACCCAGAGAAUGUCCACACACGCCCUGGAGCCGUGGCAUGGCUGGUGGGAGGGGGAGGCUGGAUUUCUGUAUAGAAUAACAUCAUCCACAUGACAGUGCAGCGUGGGCUUUGGGGAAAGCAGGGGGCCUUAGGCUGCCUUGCCUUAACCAUGAUCUCCAGGAGCACUGGGCAAAGGAGGGCUAAUCUUAGGUGGCAUUAGGACUUCACUUCACACUGCAUCCUGCAGUGACAUUACAAACUCUAAAUUCUCAGUCCUUCUGAACAUAUGGAGGACAAAAAUCUCUGUUUUGUGAACUUAUAUCUGUAGCAGUAAUAAUAAUAAUAAUAAUAAUAAUAAUAAUAAUAAUAACAAUAAUAAUGGCAAGUCAGACCUUGGCCUUGGCCAUUUUGAAUUAAUAGUUUCUGAUUUAGAGGUAUUAUGCUUUAAUUGCUUUGUAAACAUGCCACACACACACACACCUAAUAAUAUUAUCUUAUAGAGGAUUUAAAAGUCGGAUGAAAUUUCAUUUAAAAAUGAAUUGACAUAUUUCCCCUGACUCAGUACAUUCUCUGGUAGUGACAGAACGCACUGGUAUAGCACUGUGUUCGACUAAGAUUUGACGCAAUGGCUAAGGCAGAGAGCGAGGCUCCCUACACUGCGAUCCUCGCUUUUUUCUCGAAAGCCACACGGAAUCAGGACCUUGGGCACUGAGAAUAGCGCUGCCGUCAUCUUCCCUGUCCUCAUGCCUUGUGUGCUCUGGCCUCCUGGGUCUGCUCAUCUUACCGCCUCCGGAAGAUGGAAUCCAGUUUACCUCUGCAGCCUGCUGAAGACACAGAGGCCAGGAAUGGAUGGAGCAGGUGCAUGUGGGCGGGUGGACAACAGCAGCCAGAGCGCGAAGAUGAAAGUCACGUGUGAGUUCUGCGCUACAGCCUCUCUUCCUCUCAGGCUGCAAAUCUUUGGCAAUCGGAGGCAGGCUCCGAAUUAAGCUUAAUUAAAAUUCACUCUUAAUUAGGGCCAUUACUUAAAAUCAACUCUAUGUAAUAAAGCUGUGUAAUCAUAAUUAAGCCCCGGGAAUGGAAUUAGGAAGCACGGAUUGUGAAAGCCAAACACAGGGGCCCGGUGUCGGUACAGGCGGCAACAAGCUCUUCUUCUUCUUCUUCAAUUAACAGGAUUUUUGAGUAAACAAGGAUCAGCCAGUCAUGAUGAGCACUCAGAUAGCCUCGGGGAUGGUGGGCACAUCAGAAAGAGGACUUGAAGAAAGUAGACCACAGGGGCAGUGGGCUCAGGUAGCGUGAUGGGUGACAGAGAGGGUCCUCCAAGGAGCAGGGCCAAGUUCUCACUCGGUGAGUGAUGCUCACAGGCCUGACUCAGGACUCUUUGUUUCCACAGCUGUGAGUUCAGGGGUGAAGGCAACGUUUCCCAAACUGCCUUUAACUCAGGGUCCCUGCUUCCUAUGGAGCUCUUGUUAGUGGAGUUUAGAUCAGCACAGCCAAGAUAAGCGUCUCCACCUGUCUCCUCGGCUGCUGCAGCCACAGGGUUUGAUCUUUAAAGUAUGAAAAGGAGAAGAGAGAAGUAACAGCUGGUGGCAGUCUCCUGCUUUGCCGUCCUUAACAAGCCACCGAAGAGCAGGAACAUAAUUUGGAAAUGAAAGGGUCAGUUUGGGAAUAAAAGGGUUCUUGGGGUUAAUUCUCAGAAGUGGUAAGGGGAUGGAGACAGCCAUAGCCUUCAUCACCUGCUUCCCUUUAUAGCCCCGAUUGCUCCAGGAAUGCCUCCUCCUGUGUGCAGGUACCGACAUCACCACGCCUGGUACUAAAUUAAGCACAUCAGAGAGUCUCUUUUAUCCCGCAUCCACGUUUCUAAAGUCAUCCGUGUUUUGCAGAUGGGGAGAUUGAAGCAGAUUGGGGUAAAGCUCAGUCAGCUCAUUGGCCACAGAGAAAUAUGUCAUUUGACCCCAGGUGGGUGUUUACUUCACUCUAAGAGACAGUAUACUCUUCCAGAGAUGCAGGCUGGACUGGGGCCUCCCAGACAGUUUCUACCCAUGGCAGCAUCAAGAGCAAGACUAUACACUUUGGCACAGCCAACAUCUCACAGCCUCAGGUCUACACAGCAGAGGGGGGUGUGUGUAUGUGUGUCUCAUGAUUCUUUCGGGCCUCAGAAUUCACUGAGCUCAGUUCUCAUGUUUAGCCAUCAAGAGAGCACCAAGUAGAAAUUCACCUGGGGUCUGGCCUUCAUGAAGCCAUCCAACUCUGACCUUUAAUGUCAUUAUAUGAAUUAUACCCAUACUAAAGGUGUCUGGGUGAACUCUAUCCAAAGUGAAAUACUAAGGUCUUGAACCUUUCACAGUUUUGGCAAGGCUGUGUUAGUAUUUCCUCACUUGUUUAUGAGCAGGAACUGUAGCUGGAAAGAAAGCAGGACACAGGCUAAGCUGUGAAGGCCUGAGGCCUGAGGCCUAAGCUAGCAGUCAUCAUUGUUCAGCUCUGCCUGGGGCCUUUCUGUUCCUUUCUGCUGCCUAGAGAGGCCAUCUUGAUUAGAGACCUGGAGCUCAGGGGCACUUUGGUAAGGAAAAUUCAUGGUUAGCACCAAGUACCACUAGAAAUCAGCCAGGAGCCUCUUGCUCUUGAGAGAAGGAAGAAUGUGUCAGGCAAGGGAGUUAGAGGUUAAUUUAAGCUUCCCAGGCUCCAUUCCCCUCCCAUCUCCUCACCAAGCCUCCCAUGUGGAGGCCUUAACCUGCGCAAAUCCAUCAUGGAGGGAGAGCAACUGUAAAGUGACCUAGUGUCACUCGCUGCGGAGGUGAGAGCUCCCUGAGGUGUGUGGCUGGUUUGCGGGUGCUUACAGACCCCACCUCCCCCCACAUGCUCCUGACCAGAGGAAGCCGCAGCCUCUUUCUGAGCAUGACCCCUCUGUCCUUCAAGAUCAUUUGCCUCUAUUUACACUAAAUAGAGCCAGCUCUACUUCUGAGUGCCUGUAUUUUGGGCAAGGCAAGCUGGAGGUCCCCACAGCCGGUCCAAGCAGGCGUUGGCUGUCCUGGAGAUGGUCAUGUGGAAGGCUGUCCCAAGCCUGCUCCUCUGACAAAGUUUAGCAAACAGCUUAUCUCCCUCAAAACACGUGAGGUAAUGUUUAUAUAAGAUCACCCUGUCCCCUUCACCUGGCUGUGAGGUGCUGGCAUGACUGCACAAUGAUGCUGGUGCCUGGACUAUCCUGCCCCUCUCCCCCCACCCCACACCCCUUGGUAGGAUGGGAAACCACCAUCUAGCCUUCUCCACAGCAGGUCUGGAGAGAGCAACGCUCUAUAAACAUGUCCAGUGCCCCUAAGUCUCCAUGGGUCAAGACAUACUUGUGUAUGGAAUGGGCAUGGUUUUCUUCAGGAGGAAACUGAGGCAGAGAGCAGCAGAGCAUUUUUUUUUUUUUCUGAAGAUGCAAAGUCAGUUGGUGGCCUGGAUGGGGAGCCAGGUCUGACCCCUCAAAUCUCCUCUGAACUGUUCUGUGGAAAAUAUUCAUUUAAAGAAACUAGGAUGUUUAGUAAGGACGGACAGAAGGACAGCUAAAUGGAUGGACAGGGAAAAGAUAGCUGGCCUGGUAUGGUGGGGUGUGCCUACACCCACAAAACUUAGAAAGCCAAGGCAGAAGAAUUGUGAGAUUCAGGCCAGUGUGGGUUACAUAUAAAGAUGCUGUUUCAAACAAAUAAAUGGGGGGGGGGGAUGAGGAAAGGAAGGAGAGAGGGUGGAAGUAGUGUGGGGAAGACAGAAAGGAAGAAAGGGAGAUGAAGGUGAAAGAAGAGGAGGAGAGAAGGGAGGAGAGGGGAGAAGAAGGGUGGAAAGGAGAAGAGAGACUAGAUAGGAUAGAGAAGGAAAUGUGUAAGUAUAAUUAAUUCUGGAAGAAUACAUUGAAAACUGCAGAGUGAGAAUGGGGAGGCUGGCUGUGUAUGUGUGUGUACACGUGUUCUUGUUUAUGUGUUGUGUGUCUGUAAUCAGAAGAAAGAUGAUCACACACGUUACUCUUUCUUGCUUGCUUCUUGUCCCCUCUGAGCUGCUGCCAUUCUGUGGGUGUGAGCAUAUUUUCAAUGUUCCUCUCUCCUUUCUUGCCUUCUGUCCCUGUGCGUCCUUCACAAGGAUGAGAGCCACACAGUAGAGAGGAUGAGGCAGAUGUUCUGAGACAGCCACAGCCAUUUCCUCACCUCCAGUGCGCUCAGAUACCUGGGCAGUGGAGACUGGAUGGAGCCCAGAUUGUGAUGUCUGAGAGCCACACAGGGGAUGCCCCAGUGACUUCUCUCCAGAGCUGAUGACCACAGACUCCCUUGGCAGGAGCCCAGAGCAGAGAUGUUUUCUUUCCUGCUGUUUGUGACUAUGACCGAUUUUAAACAACCUGCAUGCUUAACAGCUUGGAAGUGUUUAAAUGAGUUUUGGUUCAGUUCAUGAUGGAGUACGGUACAUUAAGAACAAGUCACAAAUCCUACCUUUCCACAGUAAUAUUAUGGUAAAACAACCAAGCAAACCCUGCAGUCAGGGUUCCUCAGGGUGGAGUGUGGAGAAGUCAGGCCAGCAUAUGACAAAGUGUUAGCUCUUAAGGCUACAGGCUAGCAUUAUUUUUCAAUGUUUUUUUUUCCCAUUUUCAAUGCACCAAAUGUGUCAUUUUUAUUGUAAACACUUUUGAUAAUGAUCUCUUCAAUCAAGAGCAACAAUAUAAGUCUGUGUAGGGGAAUAAGAGCAAAGUGAUGUAUUUGGGUGAUAAAUUUAUUUUUAUGUAUUAAUUUAUUUUCUUUUUAGAGACAGCAUAUUAGUAUGUAGCCCAGGCUGGUCCUUCUGCUUCAGCCUCUGGAAUGAUGGAAUGACAAGUUUUUGUUGCCAUGCCCGGCUCCCACACACCUUGACUUUACAGUUUCCUAAUUUUAAGCACUUCUUGUGUUUAGUUUUAUACUGGAGCAUUUAUAUUUAACAUGCUUUUAAAAUAUGGGUAAAGAGGAAAAGAGAUCUGUUGCUAAGCAGCCAAUGUUUCAGGUUCCCCUUGACCCAUUCCUGAUAAUUGGUUGGGUUAGCAUUUCAUGAAUGUCUUUUUUUGUUGUUUUCUAAUUCUUUUUUUUUUCAAAAUUCUUUUUUAAUUUUUUAUUUUAUUUCUAUCAAUUGCAGUAUAUUCACUUUGUAUCCCAGCUGUAGCCUCCUUCCUUACCCCCUCCCACUCCCACCCUUCCUCCCUCUUCUUCUCUUAUGGCCCCUCCCCCAGUCCAAUGUUAGGGGAGGAGGACCUCCCCUUCCAUCUGACCCUAGUCUAUCAGGCCUCAUCAGGACUGGCUUCUGUGUCUUUCUCUGUAGACUGGUAAGGCUGUUCCCCCCUCAGGUGGAGGUGAUCAAAUAGCCAGCCCACGAGUUCAUGAGACGGUCCCUGUUCCUAUUAUUGGGGAACCCUCUUGGACACUGAGCUGCCAUGGGCUACUUCUGUGCAGGGGUUCUAAGUUAUCUCCAUGCCUGGUCCUUGUUUGGAGUUUCAGUCUCAGAAAAGACCCCUGUGCCCAGAUUUUUUUGUUUCUGUGCUCAACCAUGUUCGUGGCAGCUUUAUUUAUAAUAGCCAGAAGCUGGAAACAACCCAGAUGUCCCUCAACUGAGGAAUGGAUACAGAAAUUGUGGUACAUUUACACAAUGAAAUACUAUUCAGCAAUUGCAAACAAAGAAAUCAUGAAAUUUGCAGACAAAUGGUGGGAUCUAGAAAUGAUCAUCCUGAGGGAGGUAUUCCAGAAGCAGAAAAACACACAUGGUAUAUACUCAUUUAUAAGAGGAUAUUAGACAUAUAAUAUAGGAUAAUCAUACUAAAAUCUGUACAUCUAAGGAAGCUAAUCAAGAAGGAGGACCCUGGUAAGAUGCUCAAUCUUCAUUCAGCAAGGCAAACAAGAUGGACAUCAGAAGAGGGAGAAAACAGGGAACAGGACAGAAGCCUAUCACAGAGGGCCUCUGAAAGAUUCUACCCAGCAGGGUAUCAAAACAUAUGCUGAGAUUCAUAGCCAAACGUUUUGCAGAGUGCAGGGAAUCUUAUGAAAGAAGGGGGAGAUAGGAAGACCUGAAAGGAACAGGAGCUCUACAAGGAGAGCAACAGAAUCAUUAAUGUCUUAAAUGUGUGGGUCAGCUGGCCCUGGGAAAUAAUGUUGGAGGUGAGAAACACUUAGGUAGAAACAGUGCCAGUCCAUGAGUGGGAUCAGUCAUGGUCUAGUGGGGAAAAAGCCUCUUCAUCGUCCAAUGACAGGUGUCACCGUACAGUCUCUCAAAAGUAAUAAUAGCAAUGUCUGUGGCUUCAAAGUCAACCCAUCUACGGAGAGGCUCCCUUCAAUUCCUGCUCCCCCCGGCUUCCUUUUCUGUGGACGUAAGCUUUCUCAUCCUGUCAUGGUGAAGGUUAAAUGAUGCCUACGUGCAAAGGGUUGAGCAAGGCCAUCCUCACUGUGAGUCAUAUGAUCAGCAUCAUGUUGAAGGUGUGUAUGCCCAACCCUCAGCAAGCCAGAUGUGCAGAGCUGGUAUUUGGUUCACUGUAGAGCUGGUGGUUCUGUUCCCAGAAGGCGCUUUAUCUACCUUCUCUGCCUAACUGAAAACUGUGUUCUAAACCUCACCAUAUGGCCUUGCAGAAAGCACAGACAACACUUCAUUCAAAGAUCAAAGGAUAAAUUAAUCUACUUCACAAAAACAUGAGAGGAAGGCAGACCUCUCUCUUUAUUCAGGAUGUUGUGAUUUUGUCUACACUGCUGCCGUGUCUCUUGGUACAGGAGAGUCCAUGGUAGUGACACAGCCUCAUGUGGCUUGACUUUUCACUGAGGAUGUGACAGAUGCAGAGGCUUUGCAGAAAGUCAUGACUGGAGAGUAAAGGAAGAGUUAGGAAGGGGCUGUGCACAGGGAAAAGCCUCAGGGACCUGCUAUCAAAGCAAAGAUACUCAGGGUAUGCUUGGAAAACAUCCAGGGAAAUAAAAUCAGAGGGGAAAAUCUACUUAUAGGUAUCCACAUCACCCCGUAUCAAUAUUAAUCAUUUGUGGCUGUCCUUUGGGUCAUUGGCAUUUGGGUCAUAUCAUUAGAUAUCUACCUCAAUUCACUUAUAAGGCAUUCUGUCCCACCUCAUCCUGCCUCACACUGGACAUCGAAGUGAAAGAGAAGAGAGCACAGGGAUCAUUCUUGAAUAAGGAAGCCACGCAGGAGUCUGAGACUGUGUACUUUAGAAAGAUGGGAGGCAAGGUAGUGCCUGAUGAGGCCAGAACAGGUUAAAUGCUGGCCAGAGGGAGCAGCACCUGGAGCUGGGCCUUCAAGGACCGUGUGAACUGUGACCCAGUUGAUCUGAGAGAGAUGCUUUCAGCUGCCUUAGGCAUAGGGCAAUGAUGCACGGAGAACCUCAACUGUACCUGGAUCACAGGUGAGUUUCAGGAGACCUGAGGCACAGAGGCUACUGUGCAGUGAGAUGGCCCCAAGCAGGUUAUAGGAUGUUAUAGGCUAAGGGGCCUACUGCAGUAACAAGGGCUACCCUCAAAGGCUCUAGGUGCCCACACACAUGCAGCUGCAGGCUUCUUGUAUACUUAGGAGCAGAGAUUAAAUGAGUCACUUGGAAUUCAGGCCCCUCAUCCUUGAUCCUAUGCCUUCAGUUGGGAGAGGAGAAUUACAUUAAUCUAUGUUUUCUUUUAUCAAAUGAGUUUGGAGAAGCACACCAGAUCCUGAGAUUCAUCUAUUCAUUUGUUCAUUCAGAACACUGCUGCAUGCCCCAAUCUGGGCAGUGAUGCUAAAAAUCUCUUUGGGAGCUGCACAGCUUAUCAAGACCUUUCUCUAAUUUCAGGAAUCUUACGGCCAGGAGGAGGAAGGGGCACAUACUGACUCCACAAUGUUAACUGCAGGCUGGUCACUAUACCUCCUCCCAGCACUGGGUAGACUUAGGAUUCUCUCAAGGAAUGCUGGCUUUUACUCAGGAUAGACCAUCUCUACAUGGCUGCCUCUUAUUACAACCUAAAACUCAGAUCCUAGCACCCCUUGCUCUAGCUGCCAUGUCUUUACUUCCAACGAGCCCUUCUGAGCACUCACAAUUGCUUAGCAUGUGCUGUCUUCUAGUCCCAUUCUCCGUCGUCCAGGCUACCUGUACCUCAGACUGAUGUUACUUCCUUUGGAAGGCUUUCUCAAUCUGACUAAAUCUUUGGUAGCUUCACACUCCCUAACGCCCCUCAUAGCUCUUAUUCCAGCCAUCAUAAUUUUGCAUUUACUUACACAAUUGGCCAUAAUGACGUUCAUAUUAUCCUUUUUAAUAAUCAAAUUAUUGUAGUGUAAUUUGUGUAUAAGAAAAGGUCCUCUUUCUAUGAGUACUAGCAAAUCUUUACAAAGCUUAUAUCUUGGGUAACCAUCACCAUAAUCAAAUGCGGAACAUUCCAUCUCUCCAAAAGUUCAGUGCCCUUCCCAGUCAUUCAUGUGGUGCAUAUGAGAGUCCAGUCCUUCAGAUUGCUGAGCCACGCUGUCUCGUUGGCUCCUGAGAGUUGCCCCUGGUUGCUCAGGCAGCCUUCAGCUUCUUCGGGCACCCGUAGUUCACCUGGGUGGCCUUUGGAAGUGGUCUGACUCACCUCCACUGACGUGACUGCUCUGUUCCCAUGCUCAGCAGUUGUGCCAACAUAAAACCAUGCUCCCCUGCCCCUUGCCAGGUUAUGGUUUUGGCCAGAGAAGGCUGAUCAUGUCCGACCCCCUUCAGAAUCACGGAUGCUUCCCAGAGAUACACAGUACUUCUAGACCAGCCAUGGCAAUGAAGCUGUAUGGCCGGUGAUGACAGGCAAAUCCUUCUAUCCCUGAGAACUUGCUCUUCCUUGUCUGUGGAAAGGAGACAAUGCUGUCCUCACAGGGUCAUAACGCAAACCUACAUAUGUGAGGUUCUGUUCUCUGUCCCUUUCUCUCUCUGGACCUUCAGUUCCUUUCUCUGUCAGGCAAUGGCCAAACUACAGUUCUCUCAGGUGUCUUCCCUCUUGGACUUUCCUCGGACUGGAAAUGGCCCUAUAGUUUUUCAGCACAGGAAAAAUUGGAAUAAGAGAAUGGCCAGUUUCUCUGACAGUUCUUUUCCUGAAUAAAAGAACUAUCCACUCUGGCUUCUAGAACAGGCCUGUGGUUUUUGGAUCACUGGGCUGAUAUCUUAGCUAUUUUGAAGUCCAUUAGGGAAUGUAAUAGAGCUCCCAAUUUCCACAUGUGGCCACUGGUGCUGUGAAGCAUGUCCUUUGCUGGGAACUAGCCCUUGAUGGGGAGAAAUGAGUCACAGGGUAACUGAGGGGUGGGGAUAGUGUUCCAUUUGCAAGCCAAUAGUUCAGCUAAAACCACUUCCAGGUAGGCCCUGUCCCCGCCACUUAGCAACAGAGAAUUCUUCGGGGCCUACUAUGUGUCAAGUGCUUAACGUAUUGUCACUGUCAACUUAGGGAGGUGGUGGCCCUUAUCUGUAGGUGGAGAAAUGAGUUUCUUCCACGUGGCUUACCAUGUGCUUUGACGAGCUCUGGGUGGAGAGAAGGGACACAGUGUGUGAUUCUGUGUGGCCAGGAGAGGGGCCACACAGAAGAGGCUUCUGCUUGAAAUACGAGAAUGCCAACAUGCCAGGAACUUACCACUAUGUUUACUUCUCCGGACCUUGUGACCAGACAGGUGGUAGCUCGAAUUGUUUCCUAGACCCUUGGAUUCCCAGAUCAGAGGCUUUCACUGCAAGCACACUCAAGGACAGAAAGGGGGAGGUGUUGUCAGAAACCAGUGACAAAGCUAUUCCCAAAUCAUUAUAUCCACUGCUCCAGGUUCCCAGUAGGAGAAUGGGUCUCUGGAAGCAGUCAGUGGAAGUCAUGCCUUCUUCACUGAGCCCUACAAAUAGAACAACGUGUGUUCCUUUUUUUUCGGCAGUGUGCCCAAUGUUUAAACUCGGCAGCGUUCACUAAUUGAGAGCUGCUGUCCUUACAACUCACACACACAAUGGUACCCAGCUGCUUUCUUCACCACAAGCCCAAAAUUGCAUGUUUCAGUAUCCCUGGUGUCUGGGCCAGCCUGAGAAUGGGCUGUGGCUUAGGGCCCAUUUUUGCACCAGCAUCCAAGAGCCCGGUAGACCUCUGUGGAUUGUGGCUCCUCUCUCCGCAGUCUAAACAGAAGUGCCCCUUAUGCCUCAGCUGUGUAUAGACCGCAGCUCCCCAACAUCAGGGCAAUAGUGUUGGCAGUGACUUGGAGAAGCUGACAUGCAAAUCAAAUGACAGCCAAGAAGAAUCAAGAAUGGAUGAAAGCAGACAGGAAAAAGGUAUGGAAGUGACAGUGGAAGGCACACUGAACUCACAGAGAGGCAGGGCCUGGUGGUGGGUGAAGCUCAAGGGGUUUGUAUCAGCCUGGCACCUCAUGAGUGUGUUAUUUGGGACACUGAGGUUCAGUUUUUCUAUCUGUAAAAAUGAGGACUCUACUAGCUCUUCUAUCAGAAUUUAGUUAGUUUUUUUUUUUUUUUGUUUGCUUCUCCAAGGCAAGGUUUCUCAGUGUAGCCCCGGUUGUCCUGGAACUUGCUUUGUAGACCAGGCUGGCCUCAGACUCAGAAAUCUGUCUGCCUCUGCCUCCCAAGUUCUGGGAUUAAAGGCAUGCAGCACCACACCCAGCCGGAAGUUUAUACUUAGAGAGAUAUAAUGAGGUGCUGUGUUAAAACGCUCAGCUUUCCUUACAAGUGCUCAAUAAAAUGUAUCUGUACUCA